ensembl:lncRNA
AUGCCUGUGGGUCCGAGAUGCAUGUUGCAUGUGCCCUGGGAACUGCAGCCAAGUCUUGACUUUGGUCCCUUGUCUGUGCUUUUCCUGCAGGAGCCUGAACUGAGUCCACACACUGAACUCACAGACCUGCAGGGGGAGAUGGAAGAAAGAAAAUCAACAGGUUUUGAGGAUGAGAAGAACCCAAGUAAUGGCAGAGGAGGUGCUUUGCAAGAGAGCUGCAUGGCCUUUCCUGGCUCCAUGGCCCUGAUUCCAGCCAGAUUCGAGGCUCUCAGGGUGCAGAUGACACCCGGACUCCAUGUUGCCUUAAAGCAGUCCACACUGCCCAGGUCUCCAGAGAAAACCGCAAAGAUCUGUAACUCCGACUAUGUCUUGGGGAAGUGGAGAAAUAAUGAGGCAAGUUUAGUAUGUCUUCUAGGGUCAUACCUGUCAUGAUGACUGGUGAUUUUUGGUUUUCUCUCUGAGAAGUUAAAUACUUUCCACACGUGCAGAUUCUCUCCCUAUUGAGCUCCAUGAAAGCAUUCAGUGCGCCCUUCUGCGAGAUGUGUUGUACUGAUUCCCUUGCGGGGGAUGGAAGGGGAGGGUGGGAAUCCUUCCUGAAAAGAGUGUGAAGAUGGCAUUUCCCAGCUCAGCCUGGGUGUCUGUAGGCGAGAACAUCAAUGGCAGAAACCACCAGGCUCCUCCUGGUGAAAGGAGAGGUACAAACAGGAGCAGUGACAGUGCCUGGCUUUUGCUUCCUGAAGCAUCAGGUCACAGGCCUCUAGAGACCCUCCCUCAGGAAGUGUCCCAGGUGCCAAGUGUCCUAGGUGAGUGUCACGGUUGUUCGUGUGGGCUCCCUCCCUGUGUUCAUUUCAUAGCUUCUGGGUAGAGUGUAGCACAUUCCAAAGAAUAAGCAGAGGGUUGGACUAGGACAGAUGGACUCGUGUGGUUGGACAGUGAAUCUCAAACAUUUUAAGAUCCCACUCAGAAAGUGACCUUUCAGGGAACGGAAUGCAUGGGUGGGCUUUAGUGUCAUGUAAUGUGAGAACAUUCAAUGCAUUUAGCAUCAUCUGGUGACUUGUGAAGGCAACAGCUUCUUCAGGUGACCCCAGUGAUGGCCCUACCUUCCAAAGAACAAAGAGAGCCACCGGCUUCCCCUGUUCUUAUGGGAACAGCAGGCCCUUUAAUGAAAAAAGCUGGGACCAUGGCUCUUCCUCUAGGGCUAUGGAAUCAAGGAGAUCCCAUGGCAGGUGACCUAGGAUGAGGUAGAGGAGAUUUUAUGACCAUGGCCUCAAAGGGGUGGAGAAAAAUGGUGGAGGCUUUUGAAGCCACACGUGAGUAGGCUCAGAGGGACAUCACAUCUGAGAAAACAUGUUUAGCAAAACUAUGCACCUCGCGCUCUAUAAAUAUUUAUCCCAUGAUUUGCCGUCAUUGUGUACGUAACUAAGCUCUAUUGUAUUAGAGGAGUAGUGACUGGUUCGAGGAGGUCAGGAAUCUUCAUAUCAGCACACACACCUGAAAUGGAAGUGGUAUGUCUUUGGGGAAAAGGUCAAACUAAUAAAGAAGUUAUUUCUCAUUUUCUGAUUUUUGUU